AUUGAACGCUGGCGGCAUGCCUUACACAUGCAAGUCGAACGGCAGCACGGGGGCAACCCUGGUGGCGAGUGGCGAACGGGUGAGUAACGCAUCGGAACGUGUCCUCUUGUGGGGGAUAACCAGUCGAAAGAUUGGCUAAUACCGCAUGAGAUCGACAGAUGAAAGCGGGGGACCGCAAGGCCUCGCGCGAGAGGAGCGGCCGAUGCCGGAUUAGCUAGUUGGUGGGGUAAAAGCCUACCAAGGCGACAAUCCGUAGCUGGUCUGAGAGGACGACCAGCCACACUGGGACUGAGACACGGCCCAGACUCCUACGGGAGGCAGCAGUGGGGAAUUUUGGACAAUGGGCGCAAGCCUGAUCCAGCCAUGCCGCGUGUGUGAAGAAGGCCUUCGGGUUGUAAAGCACUUUCGGACGGAACGAAAUCGCGCGGACGAACAUUCCGCGUGGAUGACGGUACCGUAAGAAGAAGCACCGGCUAACUACGUGCCAGCCGCCGCAGUAA
rnacentral:rRNA from 1 species